rnacentral:lncRNA from 1 species
CGUUCCUGGCGUCGCCGCGGUCGGAUUGAUCCGAUUUGCGCGCGAUUUGGUGAGUAAUCUCACUAAUCCCGGAUGAGUUGGCUAAUCAUACUUUAGAUUGGUUUAGUUUUAAUUAAUUAUGUUUAGGUUGUUAGAUUAGAAGUAAUUAGCAAUUAUUAGUCAAUUGUGAUGCGAUUUAGAUAAAUUGAUUGUGCAAUUAACAAGUAGACGUGGUCUACUAUUUAUUGGGAGUGUCUCGUAAUUUUCGGACCUCUAAUUGAGCUUCAAUUUAAUGAUUCGGGCCUAAGUGAGAUUUUUGGGCAUUUAAAUAUUAAUUUUCGGAAUUAAAUUAAAUAAUUAUUUAUUUUCUGAAAAUUCAAGGGAGAUGGUCCGGAACCGGAAUAUUAUGCUGAUGAUUGUGGUGAAGUCCGUUUAUUUAAUUGGGCUUUAUUUUAAGCUAAAUUGAAUUUUUAAUAUUAUUUAUUUAAUUUUCGAAAUUAAUUAAUUAUUUACUUUUUUCCCGAAAAUUCAACUGGGACGGCCCGUGACCGGAAAUUUAGGCUGAUGAUCAUGGUGAAGUUCGUUUAUUCAAUUGGGCCUUAUAUUGAGCUAAACAGAAUAUUUAGUAUUUAAUAAUUAAUUUUCGAAAUUAAUUAAUUAAUUACUUAUUUUUCGGAAAUUAAAGCUGAGAUAGCCAGCGACCGAAAUUUCGUGCUGAUUGUCAUGGCGCAGUUCAUUUAUUUAAUUGAGCUUUAUUUUGUGCUGAAUUGAAUUAUUUGUGAGAUUGAGAAUUGUCCUUUAAUGGAAUAAUCUUUUAUUAUUAAUUGGAAAAUAACCGGUUGUUGGUUGAAAGGCACCAAAAGUGUUUUGGUGGGCUAUAGAGAAUGGUGGGAAUUAUGAAAAAGGAAAUUAUAAUAUUUUGGAUAAGGCCAAUCGUGUAUCCACACGGCUAUUUUAUCGAGAAGGAUAAAAGAUGGAAUGGAUUGAAUGGUCGGAUAGUAUACAAUAUCAUCCUAUCGGCUCUGAUAUGUCGGUUUAGCGAGAGCAGUAUACUGGUGUACUAUAUCAGCCUACGGGCGAUAUGUCAGCUUAGCGCGAGCAGUACACUUUAUCAGCUUAGUGUGAGCAUCGGGGGGAUAUUAUAUCAGCCUGUGGGCGAUAUGUCAGCUUAGCGAGAGCAGUAUACCUUAACCCUAUCAGCUUAGUGCGAGCUAUACUAUCUAUAUAUCAGCUUAGAGUGAGCAGUCCUGGACUAUGGUCGGACUUAUGGAUAGUAUUGAAUAUGCAGACCAAGCAUGGGCAGUGAUGUCAUGUAAUCGACUAGGUCGAUUGAUCAUUGUCUUGAUAUGAUGCUGUGAAUUGAUUGAUUGGAUGGAAAUGACCAUGAGUGAAUUGAUCGAUGCUUCGAUCUGCGAUGUGAUUGCCGGGGUGUUUAUUUGAUCUGUGCUAACAUGUAGGUGGGAUUUGAUGCUAAAGUACGUCUUCUGACCUAUGCGUGUUUAGGCAGCCUUUAGUAUAAUAGUUUACUAAUCGGGCUUAGUGGGGUAGAACUCGCUGAGACGUAGUCUCAUCCCAGUUUGGGGAAAAACAUUUCAGGACCCCGUUGAGGAGCUGAGGAGGAAUAUGAGAAGGAGAACUCGGAGGUGAAACCUGAGUAGAAGGAUUUUUGGAAGAAGAAGAUAAUACCGAGAGAGAUUUUGAGUAUGACCUGAAGGGAUUGAGAUUCCAUCUUCUUUUGUGAACUCCAAUUGAUGUGAAUAGUUAUGAAGUUCUCUAGUUGAUGUCAUGUACAAAAGUUUGGUUAUAAAUUUCAAUAUGAAAAAUAUGGCCCUGCUUUUUUAUCCCAUCGUUUUAUUGUCUGGGGAUUUUACUUGCUCCCACAUGUGCUUAAAAAUGAAAGGGUCGGCGAUACAUUGUCCUGGGAUAUCGCAUUAUAAAAUCGACCAAGUGAGACGGAUGUGUGCGUGCCUGAGGAUCGGGGCGUGACAUCCAGUUUAAGUGGUAUCAG